UACGGAGGGUGCGAGCGUUGUCCGGAAUCACUGGGCGUAAAGGGCGCGCAGGUGGCGCGGGCAGUCAACGGUGAAAGUUCGGGGCUCAACCCUGAAUCGGCCGUCUAUACUCCCGGGCUUGAGCACUGUAGAGGCAGAUGGAAUUCCGGGUGUAGCGGUGGAAUGCGUAGAGAUCCGGAAGAACACCGGUGGCGAAGGCGGUCUGCUGGGCAGUUGCUGACACUGAGGCGCGACAGCGUGGGGAGCAAACAGG
rnacentral:rRNA from 1 species